rnacentral:lncRNA from 1 species
UUGAAGUGAGUUUUCAUUAAAGAAAAACAAGAGAAAUGGUGGAGUUAUAUAGUAAGAAAGAAUGAAGGUGGAGAAAGGGGUCCAUAAAUUCUAAAAAAGCAUGUUAGGCAAGGAUUUGACUAAGAAUUUCAUGAGAAAAAAUAUUUAAGUUUUUGGAUUUUUAUUUUAUUUUUAUGAUUAUGUGGUCGGUUGGGAAAUAAGUUAAGAGUAGGGACUUAUUUUUUUGGUUGCGGCUGUGUGAGUGUAUGAAAAAAAUGAGAGAGAAG